UACGAAGGGGGCUAGCGUUGCUCGGAAUCACUGGGCGUAAAGCGCACGUAGGCGGCUUUCUAAGUCAGGGGUGAAAUCCUGGAGCUCAACUCCAGAACUGCCUUUGAUACUGGAGAGCUUGAGUCCGGAAGAGGUGAGUGGAACUCCGAGUGUAGAGGUGAAAUUCGUAGAUAUUCGGAAGAACACCAGUGGCGAAGGCGGCUCACUGGUCCGGUACUGACGCUGAUGUGCGAAAGCGUGGGGAGCGAACAGG
rnacentral:rRNA from 1 species